CAGAACGAACGCUGGCGGCAGGCUUAACACAUGCAAGUCGAGCGCUGUAGCAAUACAGAGCGGCAGACGGGUGAGUAACGCGUGGGAACAUACCCUUCGGUUCGGAAUAGCUCAGGGAAACUUGAAUUAAUACCGGAUACGGCCGGGAGGCGAAAGAUUAUCGCCGAAGGAUUGGCCCGCGUUCGAUUAGCUAGUUGGCGAGGUAACGGCUCACCAAGGCGACGAUCGAUAGCUGGUCUGAGAGGAUGAUCAGCCACAUUGGGACUGAGACACGGCCCAAACUCCUACGGGAGGCAGCAGUGGGGAAUAUUGGACAAUGGGCGCAAGCCUGAUCCAGCCAUGCCGCGUGAGUGAUGACGGCCUUAGGGUUGUAAAGCUCUUU
rnacentral:rRNA from 1 species